UGUGAUUGUAUACAAUAAAGAGUAGAGGAGU
rnacentral:piRNA from 1 species